UCCCUGUUAUUUCUUUUCUCCACUUUUUGUAUUUUUCUAUUUUCUCCAUUUUUUUGUGGGGGUGAAGAGUUUGAGGAUUUUUUUUUAUUUGGGAAGUUUAUGUUCUAACUUUUUUUAUCUUGCAUUUUAGUUUUUGUUAUUAUAAUGGACAAGGGGGAUGAUCCCAAACGAAAAAAAAGAAUAGAAGAGACUCGAGGAUGUUGUCAAUGAGAGUGACUUGAUUGAAUAUAUUGUGACUAUGGAGGAAAUAAGGAAAUUAUUGUAGUUCAGAGGAAUUAAAAU
rnacentral:lncRNA from 1 species